GAUAAGCACCUCCAAAGGAUACCUGAUCAACCAGGCUGUGAGCAGCCGCGUCCAACAGUCUGGAGAACCAGGAGGCCUGGUUGACGACCGGGCCGCAAGGACGCUAAGGCCCAGAAGCACUAAGUUAACCUCAAGGUCAUAAGAUUGGCUGGAGCAGUUUGCUGGCAAAAACGGCACUGAAGUAAUGGCUAGUGGUUGUAACUUAAUGUGACCAUUCACCAGCGUUUAACUACAGGGAUCAUGUGUACACAAAGGUAGUCGUCGACGAAAGUUGUUGGCAAGUGAGAAAUCGUGAGCGUCCAAGAGUGAUGGUAUUUGAAGAUGUCAUUGGAAGUAAACUCUUCACUUGGUGUAAAUAAGUGCACAAGGAAUGUGAGAAAUUGCCAGAAUGUGGAAUAAGUCAGAUUGGCUGGAGGAAUUUGCUGCCAGAACGUGGUAAAGCGACUGUUCAGGAGUGUUUGACUACAGUACAUAUUUACACAAGGUAGUCAUCCAAGAGUUGUUGGGAAAUCAGGUUAUACGAGAGGGUGUUGGCGAGUCUUCAUAUGGUAGAAGUGUUGAAAGUAAAGGACCACUACCCAUGGGUUGUGUAUACUGAAAUAGUAAAAGCGGGAAUUGACUAUUUCACCCCUGACUAAUGAAUGCUUAAUGAAGAGAUGAUGGUAUUUGAGGAAGUAAAAUCUUCAGUUGGUUUGAAGGAAAUAAGGCUUUUGGAAAUUAUAGGCAGAAGGCUGGAAAAUAUGAACGUGACAGAACUGUUUAGUGUAAUUUGGUUUUAGGCAUGUACACUAGAGCUUAAUCUUGGAUGUAGGAUAAUGCAUGUAUGCAAAUACAGAAAAUUUAUAGUUGUAAGUGGGUAUAAAAACUGUGGUCCUCAAAUUUUAUUUAAAUAGUACCAAAACAAGAGUGUGGAUCAGCGUGAGUAAGUAUUCAGUAGUGAAUAUUGUAUUUACUUUUGAUAUAAGGGAAAAAAAGCAGAUGGAAUGUGUUAAAUGACACAUUAAGGUUAAUGGGGAAAAAUGUUAGUAAAAUGUGAACAUGGAUGUAGUAAAUAUAGAAUUGGAGAGAAAUGCAAUUGUAAAACAGAAAAUGGGCUAAAUAUAGAAGUUUAAGUUUAGUUAAAAGUAUAGCAUGCAUCAAUGGUGUCACAAAUCAAAUAUUAUGGGCAGCAACUUGUGGUUGUGUUAUACUUGAAAUAGUUUUGAAGAUGUGUUUUUUCUUGACAAACAAAAUGUUAUAUGAAAAAUAAAGUAAGGUGUUUGUAUAAAAAAUGUUGCUUGUGUUUGAGUUAAGGUGUUCCUCAUAAGGUUACAAUGUAAGACGUGAAUAUAUUGCAAUACGACAAAUGUGAGGCUUUAGGAAAAUAAAUUUAUAAAAUAUAGAAAGGUUGUAUGGUAAAACGGUGAUCUCCUGGAUAGGCUUGACGUUUCUUUAUAAUAUUGGAAGAAAGGAUGGUGUAGUUCUUAAUAUAUUAGAGGUUAGACACUAAAUGUGUACUUUAGUUAGAUGUAGUUAAUCAUUGAACAUAAAUAAUAAGAGAAAAAUGGAUGUAUGAAAGUAUUGUGAUUUAAUGAGUUGUUUGACAUGAAUGUGAUAAAAUAGGAAAAUAGCCAUAGGUUCAAGUAGUUAAAAAUGCAUUAGUACUUUACCAUUUGAAAUAGUAUGUAAUUUCAGGUUAUACAAGAGGGGUUUGGUGAGUGUCUUUGUAUGGGAGACUGGUGAAGAACUAGAGGACCAGGAGCCAUAUUUACGUGCAUGUGUUGUGGCGAUGUCGGAAAUUUGUGCCACCCCCUGAGAAGUAACAGAAUUGGUUGAAAAUCUCAAAGUUUAUGAGGGAUGGUCGACUUGUGGUCCUGGCGAGAAACUAUGGGUAGUUUGUUGCACUGUAUGGGGGGCCUGGUAGAGGACACUAAAAGGCUGAAGUUAAUGUCAUGAUGGACGAAUGGUUUCAGUUGAAUAGGAAAUGAAUAAGGCUUAGUGAAAAAUGAUUGUCAUAGUACAGAAUGAUGUAUUAAGUGGGUGCAUAAAAUGUUUAAGUUAAUGAAGAUUUAAAGUUGAGUAUAUAUAAAUUAUGGUUUUCAUGUAUGUUUAAAAUAGUAUGAAAGUAGGAAGAAUAGUAUUAAGUAAAGAUAGAAAGUGUAAAUACGAUAAAGAAAUGAUAGUUCAGUAUGUUACAUAUAAAUGUUUUGACAAAUGCAUAAAUAGUAUGUUAUGAAAUAUUUGUAGGUUUAUAGUUGAGGGAGUCGCUUACCCAUGUAAAUUGUGUUG
rnacentral:lncRNA from 1 species